CAGAGAGACAGAGAGAGAGACAGAGAGAGAGACAGAGAGAGAGACAGAGAGAGAGACAGAGAGAGAGACAGAGAGAGACAGAGAGAGACAGAGAGAGACAGAGAGAGACAGAGAGAGACAGAGAGAGACAGAGAGAGACAGAGAGAGACAGAGAGAGAGAGUGAGAGAGGAGUCAAUAUAGCUGUGAAUAACAGGUCAUGUCAGCAGAACACCAUACUGCAGAACACAGAGAGAGAGAGAGAGAGAGAGAGAGAGAGAGAGAGAGAGAGAGAGAGAGAGAAGUCAAUACAGCUGUGAAUAACAGGUCAUGUCAGCAGAACACCAUACUGCAGAACACAGAGAGAGAGAGAGAGGAGUCAAUACAGCUGUGAAUAACAGGUCAUGUCAGCAGAACACCAUACUGCAGAACACAGAGAGAGAGAGAGAGGAGUCAAUACAGCUGUGAAUAACAGGUCAUGUCAGCAGAACACCAUACUGCAGAACACAGAGAGAGAGAGAGAGGAGUCAAUACAGCUGUGAAUAACAGGUCAUGUCAGCAGAACACCAUACUGCAGAACACAGAGAGAGAGAGAGAGGAGUCAAUACAGCUGUGAAUAACAGGUCAUGUCAGCAGAACACCAUACUGCAGAACACAGAGAGAGAGAGAGAGGAGUCAAUACAGCUGUGAAUAACAGGUCAUGUCAGCAGAACACCAUACUUCAGAACACAGAGAGAGAGAGAGAGGAGUCAAUACAGCUGUGAAUAACAGGUCAUGUCAGCAGAACACCAUACUGCAGAACACAGAGAGAGAGAGAGAGGAGUCAAUACAGCUGUGAAUAACAGGUCAUGUCAGCAGAACACCAUACUGCAGAACACAGAGAGAGAGAGAGAGAGAGAGAGAGAGAGAGGAGUCAAUACAGCUGUGAAUAACAGGUCAUGUCAGCAGAACACCAUACUGCAGAACACAGAGAGAGAGAGAGAGAGAGAGAGAGGAGUCAAUACAGCUGUGAAUAACAGGUCAUGUCAGCAGAACACCAUACUGCAGAACACAGUGAGAGAGAGAGGAGUCAAUACAGCUGUGAAUAACAGGUCAUGUCAGCAGAACACCAUACUGCAGAACACAGAGAGAGAGAGAGAGGAGUCAAUACAGCUGUGAAUAACAGGUCAUGUCAGCAGAACACCAUACUGUAGAACACAGAGAGAGAGAGAGAGAGAGAGAGAGAGAGAGAGAGAAGUCAAUACAGCUGUGAAUAACAGGUCAUGUCAGCAGAACACCAUACUGCAGAACACAGAGAGAGAGAGAGAGGAGUCAAUACAGCUGUGAAUAACAGGUCAUGUCAGCAGAACACCAUACUGUAGAACACACAGAGAGAGAGAGAGAGAGAGA